rnacentral:rRNA from 1 species
UACCAGCACCCCGAGUGGUCGGGACGUUUAUUGGGCCUAAAGCAUCCGUAGCCGGUUCUACAAGUCUUCCGUUAAAUCCAACUGCUUAACAGGUGGGCUGCGGAAGAUACGAUAGAGCUAGGAGGCGGGAGAGGCAAGCGGUACUCGAUGGGUAGGGGUAAAAUCCGUUGAUCCAUUGAAGACCACCAGUGGCGAAGGCGGCUUGCCAGAACGCGCUCGACGGUGAGGGAUGAAAGCUGGGGGAGCAAACCGG